rnacentral:rRNA from 1 species
CGGUUUACCAGUUGUGCCGCCAGGCGCACCGCUGGGUAUCUGAGUCUGGAUUGGAUAAGCGCUGAAAGCAUCUAAGUGCGAAGCCAGCCGCAAGAUGAGAACUCCAUAGAGGGUCGUCAAAGACGAUGACGUUGAUAGGAUGCAGGUGUAAAGACAGCGAUGUCAAAGCCGAGCAUUACUAAUUGCCCGAACACUUUCUUUAG